rnacentral:rRNA from 1 species
GACGUAGGGCGCGAGCGUUGUCCGGAUUUAUUGGGCGUAAAGAGCUCGUAGGCGGCUUGUUGCGUCGACCGUGAAAACCCGGGGCUCAACUUCGGGCUUGCGGUCGAUACGGGCGGGCUAGAGUUCGGUAGGGGAGACUGGAAUUCCUGGUGUAGCGGUGAAAUGCGCAGAUAAUCAGGAGGAACACCGGUGGCGAAGGCGGGUCUCUGGGCCGAUACUGACGCUGAGGAGCGAAAGCGUGGGAGCGAACAGG